GACGAACGCUGGCGGCGUGCUUAACACAUGCAAGUCGAACGGAAAGGCCCCCUUCUGGGGUCCUCGAGUGGCGAACGGGUGCGUAACGCGUGAGUUACCUACCCUUGACUUUGGGAUAACUUCACGAAACUGGGCCUAAUCCCGUAUCGGAGCUCCUGCUGCAUGGUGGGGGUUGGAAAGUUUCGGCGGUUGGGGAUGGACUCGCGGCUUAUCAGCUUGUUCGUGGGGUAGUUGCUCACCAAGCCGUUGACGGGUAGCCGGCCUGAGAGGGUGACCGGCCACAUGGGGACUGAGAUACGGCCCAGACUCCUACGGGAGGCAGCAGUGGGGAAUAUUGCACAAUGGGCGGAAGCCUGAUGCAGCAACGCCGCGUGCGGGAUGACGGCCUUCGGGUUGUAAACCGCUUUCGCCUGUGGCGAAGCGGGAGUGACGGUAAUGGGUAAAGAAGCACCGGCUAACUACGUG
rnacentral:rRNA from 1 species